UGCAUGUCUAAGCACAGACCCUAGUACGGUGAAGCUGCGAAUGGCUCAUUAGGCCACCCAUGAUUUAUUAGAUUGUACAAUCCUACUUGGAUAACUGUGGUAAUUCUAGAGCUAAUACAUGCCGAGAAGCUCCGACCCCGUCCGCGUGGGGGCAACUCUGCGCGGGUGCGGGGAAAGAGCGCGUUUAUUAGAUCAAAACCAAUCGGGCUCUCGGGCUCGUCUCGUUGGUGACUCUGGAUAACUUCGAGCUGAUCGCACGGCCUUGAGCCGGCGACGUAUCUUUCAAGUGUGUGCCCUAUCAACUGUCGAUGGUAAGUGACAUGCUUACCAUGGUGGUAACGGGUAACGGGGAAUCAGGGUUC
rnacentral:rRNA from 1 species